rnacentral:misc_RNA from 1 species
GAUGAAGAACGCAGCGAAAUGCGAUAAUUAAUGUGAAUUGCAGAAUUUAGUGAAUCAUCGAAUCUUUGAACGCACAUUGCGCCCGCCAGUAUUCUGGCGGGCAUGCCUGUUCGAGCGUCAUUACAACCCUCAGGCCCCCGGGCCUGGCGUUGGGGAUCGGCGGAAGCCCCCUGCGGGCACAACGCCGUCCCCCAAAUACAGUGGCGGUCCCGCCGCAGCUUCCAUUGCGUAGUAGCUAACACCUCGCAACUGGAGAGCGGCGCGGCCACGCCGUAAAACACCCAACUUCUGAAUGUUGACCUCGAAUCAGGUAGGAAUACCCGCUGAACUUAAGCAUAUCAAUAAGCGGAGGA